UACACACCGCCCGUCGCUACUACCGAUUGAAUGGCUCAGUGAGGCUUUCGGACUGGCCCAGAGAGGUGGGCAACUACCACUCAGGGCCGGAAAGUUAUCCAAACUCGGUCAUUUAGAGGAAGUAAAAGUCGUAACAAGGUCUCCGUUGGUGAACCAGCGGAGGGAUCAUUA
rnacentral:rRNA from 1 species